UGCAACUCGACUACAUGAAGCUGGAAUCGCUAGUAAUCGCGAAUCAGAAUGUCGCGGUGAAUACGUUCCCGGGUCUUGUACACACCGCCCGUCACACCAUGGGAGUCAGUAACGCCCGAAGUCAGUGACCCAACCGGAACCGGAGGGAGCUGCCGAAGGUGGGACCGAUAACUGGGGUGAAGUCGUAACAAGGUAAC
rnacentral:rRNA from 1 species